rnacentral:rRNA from 1 species
AUACGGAGGAUCCGAGCGUUAUCCGGAUUUAUUGGGUUUAAAGGGUGCGUAGGCGGCCUUUUAAGUCAGCGGUGAAAGUCUGUGGCUCAACCAUAGAAUUGCCGUUGAAACUGGGGGGCUUGAGUAUGUUUGAGGCAGGCGGAAUGCGUGGUGUAGCGGGGAAAUGCUUAGAUAUCACGCAGAACCCCGAUUGCGAAGGCAGCCUGCCAAGCCAUGACUGACGCUGAUGCACGAAAGCGUGGGGAUCAAACAGGAUUAGAUACCCUGGUAGUCCACGCAGUAAACGAUGAUCACUAGCUGUUUGCGAUACACUGUAAGCGGCACAGCGAAAGCGUUAAGUGAUCCACCUGGGGAGUACGCCGGCAACGGUGAAACUCAAAUGAAUCGACGGGG